CUACGGGUGGCAGCAGUGAGGAAUAUUGGUCAAUGGUCGGGAGACUGAACCAGCCAAGCCGCGUGAGGGAGGAAGGUACAGAGUAUCGUAAACCUCUUUUGUCGGGGAACAAAGGCGGGGACGUGUCCCCGGAUGAGUGUACCUGAAGAAAAAGCAUCGGCUAACUCCGUGCCAGCAGCCGCGGUAAUACGGAGGAUGCGAGCGUUAUCCGGAUUUAUUGGGUUUAAAGGGUGCGCAGGCGGUCUGUUAAGUCAGCGGUCAAAGCCCGGGGCUCAACCCCGGCCCGCCGUUGAAACUGGCAGGCUCGAGUUGGAGAGAAGUAAGCGGAAUUGCUAGUGUAGCGGUGAAAUGCGUAGAUAUUAGGAGGAACACCAGUGGCGAAGGCGGCUUACUGGACUGUAACUGACGUUGAGGCUCGAAAGCGUGGGGAGCAAACAGGAUUAGAUACCCCAGUAGUC
rnacentral:rRNA from 1 species